rnacentral:rRNA from 1 species
AUGUUCCGGCGGCCGUCUGUGGGGGAUAUUGUCUUCUUCAGGGUGCCUACCGCGCUGCAGAAUUGUGGCAUCAGUAAGGAUGUUGUAUUCAUUAAGAGGGUUAUUGCCACCCCUGGAGACUUCAUCGAGGUCCGGCAAGGCCAGCUUAUUGUUAACGGUGUUGCACAGAACGAACACUACACCGCACCGCAUGCGUCGUACACGAUGGAAGCCAUGCGCCUCCCUCAAGGCCAUGUAUUCGUCAUGGGUGAUAACCGUAAUAACAGCUGUGAUUCUCGUGCCUGGGGGCCUCUUCCUAUCAGCAACAUUCUUGGGAGAUACAUGAUGUCCUUCACAAGAUCGUCCCUCCAAUAG